AUUUACAUUAAUAUUAAGUUAUGCCAUGUCAAACCAAAAUGGGAAAAUAGGAGAUAAGCCACUUUAUUCCUGCUAAACCAAAGGUGCAAUAAAGUAGACAGAGGAGGCAAUUAAUGUCUUCUGCCACCAAAUGCACAUGAAUAGUAAGAAUUUUCACCUUUAAUGGUUUUUAAUUGGCUCUAAAUGUGUUUCAAGUUUAAAUUGAAAAGGCAUAUUGCAUCAAAGAUACAUGGAUAAGAGGAGGUUUUUUCAAGAACUGGAGAUGUGAAAUAGUUCAUGCUAGUCAGGGCUAUAAAUGUAAAAGAUUUCACAAAAUAUCUUUUGA